GUAGGAUAGAAAUAAAUUGUAUUAGUUAAAAGUUAAACGGAGAAAUUAGGAGAAUAGUUKAUUUUAUAGGUAAAACUUGUAAAAUUAAAUAUUUCUUAAAAUGGGAGGUUGAAGCUUUGAAAAUUGAAGUUAAAASUAGGAUUAGAUACCCUAUUAUUUUAAUUGUAAAAGAGGAGGCUUGRGUAGUAUYAGUUAAGUGCUUGAAACACAAAGAAUUUGGCGGUGUCUUAGUCUUUUCAGAGGAAUCUGUCCUWUAAUUGAUAUUACACGUUAAAUGUUACUUAAUUURGUAUAGUCAAUUUGUAUACCGCCGUCAUAAGAUCAUYUUUUUAGAGAAAGAAUUUUCUUAAUACCUAUAAUAAGAUAGUAUGUCAGGUCAAGGUGCAGUUUAUAAUUAUGUAGGAGAUGGAUUACAAUAAAUUUAUUUAAAUGGAUUUUCUGUUCAAAAAUGGAGAUGAAGGUGGAUUUGAAGGUAAUUUUGUUAAAUUAUGAUAGAAUGAAUGAAGCUCUAGGACAUGUACACAUCGCCCGUCGCYCUCGUUAUUAAGAUGAGAUAAGUCGUAACAUAGUAGUCGUACUGGAAAGUGUGGUUAGAAAGUCAA
rnacentral:rRNA from 1 species